AGGAAGGGCAGGGUUAUUAUCCGUCUUGCUCUGCCAUACCCCAGAGCCUGGAACACUGUGCGGCAAACAGUCGGUGCUCAGCAGAUGCGUCCAGAGUGAAUGAAGUGUGUCCACUGUGCUCUUGUGAGAAUGCUUUCUUCUAAUUUGUGAUGUUUCUGCCUAAAGAAGGUCAAGUUGCCAGCCUGACUUUGGUAGAUGGGAACCACUGGUGAGAACUCCACCUGCUUCCCUCAAGACGGACCUAUCUGUUAUGUAUUCUGAGGCAGGCACUUUGCUGGGGGCGCACACAGGAUUCCAAAACCCACUGUGAAAAUGCACACCCCAGGGAGUGCAUUCAGACUGGAAAGCAGGCUCUUUUAUCUUUCUUUUUAUUGAUAUUGCAUUUGAAAAAUACAUACAUACAAUCAAUAAAAUACACAAAGUGAGGUUUCUUUCUCACCUCGAACCCCUACAUUCCACUUCUCCUCUCCAGAAGCAACCUUUGUUAGUUUCUUUUUUAGCUUUCCUGAGGUAUUUCAUGCAUUUAUAAGCAUUUUUUUCUUUUUUCACAGGUGAUAACACACCAUACAUGCUCUUCAGCAUGUGACUUCUUUCACUUAACAAUAUGUCUGGGAGGCACCUCCACCUCAGAGCAUAAAGAGCUCUCUUUGAAAAGGCCACAGAAUAUUCCAUUAGGUGGAUGUACAGGACUUAACCUGCUAUUGUCCAUCGGCACGAAGAAUGCAGAGGCUUCUUUGAUCUUUGCAGCACGGCGCCCUUGCACAAUGACUGGGUCACAGCAGCACUCCGGAUGAACAUGCCCCGCCGGGGGUAGAGCUGGUAACUGGGAGGACUUGGGCUGAGAGCUGGUGGACCAGAUCUUGGGUUGAAUUCUCCCAGAAGUAGAGAAAGAUGGAGUUCAGAAGAUUGUUUGGAAACGCAUUUCUGGAAGCCCCCCUGGGGAGCGGGGAAGGGAGACAAACCUGUUCAGAGUAUUGAUGGGUAGUUAGCACCGUGGACAAGCAGAACUCAACACUGUAGGGGCCUUGGGAGAUGGCAGGGACAUGCUUCACAGCAGCCCACCUGAGGGGCAAGGAAGCUGGAGUAUUUAUCCCACCAACAUCCAUUCCUCAUUGGCCAGAGGUGUCUUGGGAGGGAGUAGGGGGUUGAGUCUCCAAUCAGCCCUGCUUAAAGCUGGGGAGAGAAGCUGUUGGGUUGGCCUCCAUAGGAUUUUUAUAGAAAAAUCUCCCAAUUGCUAAAUGUUGGCAAAUGAUCCCCAAUUUUCUUUUCCUUUUUUUUUCUUUAUUUUGAGACAAGGUCUCACUCUGUUGCCCAGGCUGGAGUGCAGUGGUGUGGUCAUGGCUCACCGCAGCCUCAACUUCCUGGGCCCAAGCGAUCCUCCUGCCUCAGCCUCCUAAGUAGCUGGGACCACAGGCAUACACCACCACACCCAGCUAAUUUUUAAAUUUUUUUUUGAGAUGGGGUCUCCGUAUGUUGCCCAGGCUGGUCUCUAAUUCCUGGACUCAAUCAAGCAAUCCUCCUGCCUUGGCCAAGGCAGGCAGAUCGCUUGAGGCCAGGAGUUCGAGACUAGCCUAGCCAACAUGUCAAAGUCUCUUAUCUACUAAAGAUACAAAAAAAUUAACUAGGUGUGGUGGUGCACGCUUGUAAUCCCAGCUACUCGGGAGACUGAGGCAUAAGAGUUGCUUGAAACCAGGAGGCAGAGGUUGGAGUGAGCAGAAAUCACGCCACUGCAUUCCAGCCUAGGUGACAGAGUGAGACUCUGUCUCAAAAAUAAAAAUAAAAAUUCCAUGAAGUCAGAGAGAGCUGACAAUUUACUCCUCCUCAGUUGAUUAUACCUCAGCUUACUUUUUUCUUUUUUUAUUAUACUGAAAAGUUGCAAAAUACCUCAGUUUAUAUGAGUUUUCCAGAUUAAAAUAUUAUUGCUUUUUAGUGAAAUCUUUACAGAUGAAAUGAUGUUUGGGAUUUGUUUCAAGGUAAUAUAGGAGGUGAAAAGUGGGUCAAGUAUAGAUACGGAAAGAUUGGUCAUGGAUUGAUAAGAAUUAAAUUGGGUCACAAUAGUCAUAUACUAUUUUUUAUUUUAUUUUAUUUUAUUUUUUGAGAUGGAGUGUCACUCUGUCGCCCAGGCUAGAGUGUAGUGGCACAACCUCGGCUCGGUGCAACCUCCGCCUCCUGGGUUCAAGCAAUUCUUGUGCCUCAGCCUCCUGAGUAGCUGGGAUUACAGGCGUGGGCCACCAUGCCUGGCUAAUUUUUAUAUUUUUUAUAGAGACAAGAUUUUGCCAUGUUAGCCAGGCUGAUCUCAAACUCCUGACCUCAAGUCAUCCACCCACGUCAGUGUCACAAAGUGCUGGGAUUACAGGCCUGAGCCACCAUGCCUGGCCUAGUCAUAUACUAUUUUUAUAAAUGCCAAACAUUUUAUGUAAUAAAAUUUUGAGGGAAA
rnacentral:lncRNA from 1 species